rnacentral:lncRNA from 1 species
CAAUUUGAGGGCAUAUCUCUCAUUUCUGAAUGUAGUCUCAGUGCUACAAAUUUAUCUCUUUUCUUCUUAACCUUAUUGUGAUCCCUCACCAUCCAACAGGGUGCUUUUUGAAAGUGUAGUCUUGGUUAACACUCUACUUCAGACUAAGAAAUUACAUGCAGGAAGCCCUCUAUUCUUCAAGUCUUAGUUGCAUCAAGUAGAGGAAGGCUGGGUCAGGGAUUUGCAAGUGCUUUUGCUAUCACUGUUUUGUUCUUCUUCAGGUCUUUGUGCCCACGACAUCAUUGACAUGGCAAUUGUGACAACUGCUCAGCUGUCCACUCAAGCAGUUGAUAUGAUCAUUGUCUUGAAGGUCAGUGAUGAUUCCCUAACCACCAGAUCCAAUGCCUUAUUGUUGAUCAUCUUUCCAGAAAUCUCUGCUUCUCCAGAGGAAGCCAACAGUCACCAGAGGGAGGAAACAUGGAUUUGGGAAUAUAGAAGCAGGGAAGGGAUUCUUCAACCUUUAUCCUCUUCUGACUGCCAGUCUACAGCUGAACCCAACCUGGAGCCAACCAGGAAGAAGACUGGGAGAAACAAUCUGUGGGGUGAGUCUCCUGUGCACAGAGCAGAGAGAAAGGCAGAGAGCAAUUGGGAGCAGAGGGGCAAAUAGAAAAUAAUUAGCACCAUGGUUAAGGGCAUUACACCACAUUCCUCAAUUUAGAGAUAAUUAUUUUAGAGGUAAGUGAUUUAAAAAAGUUUCCUUCUCUAGAUGGAUAGCUACAUUUCAGCAUCACAAAUAAGAAUAAUGCUCUUUUGCCAUGACAUUCUGGAAGUUUGGAGUAAACUCUGUAGUCUGUGUGAGGUCAUUUGGCUUACCUAUCUGAGCUUCUC